AUUGAACGCUGGCGGCAGGCCUAACACAUGCAAGUCGAGCGGAUGAAGGGAGCUUGCUCCUGGAUUCAGCGGCGGACGGGUGAGUAAUGCCUAGGAAUCUGCCUGGUAGUGGGGGAUAACGUCCGGAAACGGGCGCUAAUACCGCAUACGUCCUGAGGGAGAAAGUGGGGGAUCUUCGGACCUCACGCUAUCAGAUGAGCCUAGGUCGGAUUAGCUAGUUGGUGGGGUAAAGGCCUACCAAGGCGACGAUCCGUAACUGGUCUGGGAGGAUGAUCAGUCACACUGGAACUGAGACACGGUCCAGACUCCUACGGGAGGCAGCAGUGGGGAAUAUUGGACAAUGGGCGAAAGCCUGAUCCAGCCAUGCCGCGUGUGUGAAGAAGGUCUUCGGAUUGUAAAGCACUUUAAGUUGGGAGGAAGGGCAGUAAGUUAAUACCUUGCUGUUCUGACGUUACCAACAGAAUAAGCACCGGCUAACUUCGUG
rnacentral:rRNA from 1 species